rfam:Microgenomates (Shapirobacteria) bacterium GW2011_GWE2_38_30 TS90_C0008, whole genome shotgun sequence.
AUAAUCACUCUACUUAAGCCGAAGACAGUAGGUUUAUUCCGGUUACCACCGGAAUUAUAAUUAAUUCCUACCGAGGAAAUAUUCUUUCACUCGCUGUCAAAGGCGAGUUUUUUAUUUUUAAUU